rnacentral:rRNA from 1 species
AACGAACGCUGGCGGCAGGCCUAACACAUGCAAGUCGAGCGCCCCGCAAGGGGAGCGGCGGACGGGUGAGUAACGCGUGGGAACGUGCCCUUUGCUACGGAAUAGCCCCGGGAAACUGGGAGUAAUACCGUAUAAGCCCUACGGGGGAAAGAUUUAUCGGCAAAGGAUCGGCCCGCGUUGGAUUAGGUAGUUGGUGGGGUAAUGGCCUACCAAGCCGACGAUCCAUAGCUGGUUUGAGAGGAUGAUCAGCCACACUGGGACUGAGACACGGCCCAGACUCCUACGGGAGGCAGCAGUGGGGAAUUUUAGACAAUGGGCGCAAGCCUGAUCUAGCCAUGCCGCGUGAGCGAUGAAGGCCUUAGGGUUGUAAAGCUCUUCCGUGGGGGAAGAUAAUGACUGUACCCCAAGAAGAAGCCCCGGCUAACUCCGUGCCAGCCGCCGCCGUAAAAC